ACAUGAGAUGCUCUCUUCAGUCCGGGGCUUGGUUGAACGGACUCACCAGGAAACGUGACUUUCGUGUCCGACCUCUGCUGUAUCAGGAUUCGAUUCUUGGUGUUAAACAAGACAACGCUGAAGGCUCGGUGCAGCAGCCCUGCAAAGCUUUGUGUCUUAGGUUUCAGCGUGCUGACGUUCUCUGGGCCCUGAAGUCACUGCUGCUGGCUGGUGUGCUGGCCACUUGGUCGUGCUGGCCUGUCUCCCACCGGGUGGAUGCCCAGCGAGCUCUGGAUGCUGUGUUUUUCCAGCGCUCUUGGGAGGUGGGCUGUGCCACUGCCUGGCCCACCUGGCCCACCUGGCCCACCAUUACCUGAAGGGAAGCAUGAACAGCCUUUGACGUGGGAGUGGCGACUGCUGAGAGGGAACUGUCUGUACACAAGCAAUGUAGCCUUAUGGGACCUGAGUGGAGCCCCAACCCACGCAGGGCGUGUCUUCAUGGCUUUUCCUGGCCAAUCUGAUACCAAGAUGCAGUGGCCAGAAGUACCUGCACUUCCACUCCUGUCAAGUCUCUGCAUGGCUAUGGUGAGGAAGAGCUCUGCACUGGGCAAGGAAGUUGGCCGUCGAGUGAAGGAAAUGGUGAUGCUGGUGGCCCCUUUCCGGCAGUCAAGUUCCCUAUCAAGGACAUUCAGUUCUCGGAAAGUGGUGAAGGCACAUGCUUCCCUGCAUGGUGCCCGCCUCUCUCCACUCUCUAGAAAUAUUAGAGGCUAGGCUGCUGCUGUAUGUCAGGGCUAGUCCCUCUUCUAUGAAUCCAGAAUAACUCUGAAGAAGCCGAGUAACAGGCAUGAAGUGAAGAGAAAUCGCUGUAACAGGAAGACAGCAAAGCAGAUGCUAAUGACCACACUAUUUAACGAACUGGAACCAACGAGAAAAUACGGUAUUACUGAAGACUGCACUUCCUUGAACAGAGUGCUCUUCUCAGCAAAUCGGAAAUGCCUACACAAAUCGCUUUACAAGAAAGACUGUUUCAAAGCAGCACCUUUCUCAAUGUUCUCGUUCAGGUGACAAUUCUUCUUGGUCUCAGCUCCAAUUUUAUUGUCAUUUUCAUCAAUAAGGAUACACAUCUCUGCCAGGAGUUGAACCUGUUGCUUGUCGAGGUGGUUAGUGUUUAUUUCAGGCAUCAUUACAAAAUGUCUGAUCUGUUCUAGAACACUAAUAUUAAAGGAAAAGAGAAAGAAAGGC
rnacentral:lncRNA from 1 species